GCCAUCCUUGGGAUACCACCCUUGUAGUACUGGGACUCUAACCAUAGGCCAUGAAUCUGGUCUUGGGACACUGUCAGGUGGGCAGUUUGACUGGGGCGGUCGCCUCCCAAAAGGUAACGGAGGCGCUCAAAGGUUCUCUCAGUACGGUCGGAAAUCGUACGUAGAGUGUAAAGGCAAAAGAGAGCUUGAUUGCAAGACAUACAGGUCGAGCAAGGAUGAAAAUCGGACUUAGUGAUCCGGUGGUUCUGCGUGGAAGGGCCAUCGCUCAACGGAUAAAAGCUACCCUGGGGAUAACAGGCUUAUCUCCCCCAAGAGUCCACAUCGACGGGGAGGUUUGGCACCUCGAUGUCGGCUCAUCACAUCCUGGGGCUGUAGUAGGUCCCAAGGGUUGGGCUGUUCGCCCAUUAAAGUGGUACGCGAGCUGGGUUCAGAACGUCGUGAGACAGUUCGGUCCCUAUCCGUCGCAGGCGUAGGAAAUUUGAGAAGACCUGUCCUUAGUACGAGAGGACCGGGAUGGACGUACCUCUGGUGUACCAGUUGUUCUGCCAAGGGCAUGGCUGGGUAGCUAUGUACGGAAUGGAUAAGCGCUGAAAGCAUCUAAGCGCGAAGCCAACU
rnacentral:rRNA from 1 species